rnacentral:rRNA from 1 species
GGUUAAGCGACUAAGCGUACACGGUGGAUGCCCUGGCAGUCAGAGGCGAUGAAGGACGUGCUAAUCUGCGAAAAGCGUCGGUAAGGUGAUAUGAACCGUUACAGCCGGCGAUGUCCGAAUGGGGAAACCCAGUGCAAUUCGUUGCACUAUCGUUAACUGAAUACAUAGGUUAACGAGGCGAACCGGGGGAACUGAAACAUCUAAGUACCCCGAGGAAAAGAAAUCAACCGAGAUUCCCCCAGUAGCGGCGAGCGAACGGGGAGCAGCCCAGAGUCUGAAUCAGCUUGUGUGUUAGUGGAACGGUCUGGAAAGUCCGACGGUACAGGGUGAUAGUCCCGUACACCAAAAUGCACAGGCUGUGAACUCGAAGAGUAGGGCGGGACACGUGGUAUCCUGUCUGAAUAUGGGGGGACCAUCCUCCAAGGCUAAAUACUCCUGACUGACCGAUAGUGAACCAGUACCGUGAGGGAAAGGCGAAAAGAACCCCGGCGAGGGGAGUGAAAAAGAACCUGAAACCGUGUACGUACAAGCAGUGGGAGCACCUUCGGGUGUGACUGCGUACCUUUUGUAUAAUGGGUCAGCGACUUAUAUUCUGUAGCAAGGUUAACCGUAUAGGGGAGCCGCAGGGAAACCGAGUCUUAACUGGGCGUUAAGUUGCAGGGUAUAGACCCGAAACCCGGUGAUCUAGCCAUGGGCAGGUUGAAGGUUGGGUAACACUAACUGGAGGACCGAACCGACUAAUGUUGAAAAAUUAGCGGAUGACUUGUGGCUGGGGGUGAAAGGCCAAUCAAACCGGGAGAUAGCUGGUUCUCCCCGAAAGCUAUUUAGGUAGCGCCUCGUGAAUUCAUCUUCGGGGGUAGAGCACUGUUUCGGCUAGGGGGUCAUCCCGACUUACCAACCCGAUGCAAACUACGAAUACCGAAGAAUGUUAUCACGGGAGACACACGGCGGGUGCUAACGUCCGUCGUGAAGAGGGAAACAACCCAGACCGCCAGCUAAGGUCCCAAAGUCACAGUUAAGUGGGAAACGAUGUGGGAAGGCACAGACAGCCAGGAUGUUGGCUUAGAAGCAGCCAUCAUUUAAAGAAAGCGUAAUAGCUCACUGGUCGAGUCGGCCUGCGCGGAAGAUGUAACGGGGCUAAACUGUGCACCGAAGCUGCGGCAGCGACACUAUGUGUUGUUGGGUAGGGGAGCGUUCUGUAAGCCUGCGAAGGUGGCCUGUGAGGGUUGCUGGAGGUAUCAGAAGUGCGAAUGCUGACAUAAGUAACGAUAAUGCGGGUGAAAAGCCCGCACGCCGGAAGACCAAGGGUUCCUGUCCAACGUUAAUCGGGGCAGGGUGAGUCGACCCCUAAGGCGAGGCCGAAAGGCGUAGUCGAUGGGAAACAGGUUAAUAUUCCUGUACUUGGUGUUACUGCGAAGGGGGGACGGAGAAGGCUAUGUUAGCCGGGCGACGGUUGUCCCGGUUUAAGCAUGUAGGCGGAGGUUCCAGGUAAAUCCGGUACCUUAUUAACGCUGAGGUGUGAUGACGAGGCACUACGGUGCUGAAGUAACAAAUGCCCUGCUUCCAGGAAAAGCCUCUAAGCAUCAGGUAACAUUAAAUCGUACCCCAAACCGACACAGGUGGUCAGGUAGAGAAUACCAAGGCGCUUGAGAGAACUCGGGUGAAGGAACUAGGCAAAAUGGUGCCGUAACUUCGGGAGAAGGCACGCUGAUAUGUAGGUGAAGCCCCUGCGGGUGGAGCUGAAAUCAGUCGAAGAUACCAGCUGGCUGCAACUGUUUAUUAAAAACACAGCACUGUGCAAACACGAAAGUGGACGUAUACGGUGUGACGCCUGCCCGGUGCCGGAAGGUUAAUUGAUGGGGUUAUCCGUAAGGAGAAGCUCUUGAUCGAAGCCCCGGUAAACGGCGGCCGUAACUAUAACGGUCCUAAGGUAGCGAAAUUCCUUGUCGGGUAAGUUCCGACCUGCACGAAUGGCGUAAUGAUGGCCAGGCUGUCUCCACCCGAGACUCAGUGAAAUUGAACUCGCUGUGAAGAUGCAGUGUACCCGCGGCAAGACGGAAAGACCCCGUGAACCUUUACUAUAGCUUGACACUGAACAUUGAGCCUUGAUGUGUAGGAUAGGUGGGAGGCUUUGAAGCGUGGACGCCAGUCUGCGUGGAGCCAACCUUGAAAUACCACCCUUUAAUGUUUGAUGUUCUAACGUUGGCCCCUGACCGGGGUUGCGGACAGUGUCUGGUGGGUAGUUUGACUGGGGCGGUCUCCUCCCAAAGAGUAACGGAGGAGCACGAAGGUUAGCUAAUCCUGGUCGGACAUCAGGAGGUUAGUGCAAUGGCAUAAGCUAGCUUGACUGCGAGCGUGACGGCGCGAGCAGGUGCGAAAGCAGGUCAUAGUGAUCCGGUGGUUCUGAAUGGAAGGGCCAUCGCUCAACGGAUAAAAGGUACUCCGGGGAUAACAGGCUGAUACCGCCCAAGAGUUCAUAUCGACGGCGGUGUUUGGCACCUCGAUGUCGGCUCAUCACAUCCUGGGGCUGAAGUAGGUCCCCAAGGGUAUGGCUGUUCGCCAUUUAAAGUGGUACGCGAGCUGGGUUUAGAACGUCGUGAGACAGUUCGGUCCCUAUCUGCCGUGGGCGCUGGAGAAUUGAGGGGGGCUGCUCCUAGUACGAGAGGACCGGAGUGGACGCAUCACUGGUGUUCGGGUUGUCAUGCCAAUGGCAUUGCCCGGUAGCUAAAUGCGGAAGAGAUAAGUGCUGAAAGCAUCUAAGCACGAAACUUGCCCCGAGAUGAGUUCUCCCUGAGACUUUAAGUCUCCUGAAGGAACGUUAAAGACGAUGACGUUGAUAGGUCGGGUGUGUAAGCGUAGCGAUACGUUGAGCUAACCGAUACUAAUGAACCGUGAGGCUUAACCUU